rnacentral:rRNA from 1 species
AUUGAACGCUGGCGGCAGGCCUAACACCUGCAAGUCGAACGAGUGGCGGACGGGUGAGCAAUUUCUGGGAAACUGCCUGAUGGAGGGGGAUAACUACUGGAAACAGUAGCUAAUACCGCAUACCAGCCGAUCUGCCCAGAUGGGAUUAGCUAGUGGGUGGGGUAACGGCUCACCUAGGCGACGAUCCCUAGCUGGUCUGAGAGGAUGACCGGCCACACUGGAACUGAGACACGGUCCAGACUCCGACGGGAGGCAGCAGUGGGGAAUAUUGCACAAUGGGCGCAAGCCUGAUGGAGCCAUGCCGCGUGUAUGAAGAAGGCCUUCGGGUUGUAAAGUACUUUCAGCGGGGAGGCGUUACUCGCAGAAGAAGCACCGGCUAACUCCGUGCCAGCAGCCGCGGUAAUUC